rnacentral:rRNA from 1 species
AACGAACGCUGGCGGCGCGUUUAAGCAUGCAAGUCGAGCGGCAAGGGCCUUCGGGCCCCUAGAGCGGCGGACGGGUGAGUAACACGUGGACAAUCUCGCCCCCCGGCCCGGGAUAGCCCAGGGAACCUGGAUUAAUACCGGAUGAGACGGGACCCGCGAAGGCGGGACCGGGAAGGCGCUGCGGCGCCGCCGGGGGAUGAGUCUGCGUCCCAUUAGCUAGACGGCGGGGUAACGGCCCACCGUGGCGACGAUGGGUAGCCGGCCUGAGAGGGUGGACGGCCACAUUGGAACUGAGACACGGUCCAGACUCCUACGGGAGGCAGCAGCUAAGAAUCUUCCGCAAUGGGCGAAAGCCUGACGGAGCGACGCCCGCGUGAACGAAGAAGGCCGUGAGGUUGUAAAGUUCUUUUCGGGAGGGGGAACAACCGUGGCAGGGAAUGGCCGCGGGAUGACGUGAAUCCCGGAAUAAGCCCCGGCUAACUACGUGCCAGCAGCCGC